AGUUAUUUUCAUAUGUCAAUUUGGACCGAAUUACGUCCUUUACUACUUGGAAUGAGCCUAGAAUCAAGCAAAACUCAAUAAAUGAGUCUGUAGAGAGUCAAAAACUGUUUUUAGCGAUAUUAUGCUUGUUUUGCAUUGUUUUGUAGCUAUUUUGAGAAAAUGAAGAAUGGAGUUGAAGAUACAGGUCAUAGACUCAAGAAAAGAGCAGAAAUAUGAAGAUUUGAAGAGUCGACGCACCACCCGACGGCACACUUAAACCGUCGGGCGGCCUAGGGUGAGGAGUAGGCAUGGCGAUUGGCGUUGGGCGGUUCUGAGGCUUUUGCCAAACCGUCGGGCGACACACUUAAACCGCUGGGCGGUGGUCCGUUGGGCCUGGGCCUAUUUUCUGAUGCGCUCCUCACCUAUAAAUACCCCUAUUGCGAGUUCAGAGUCAUUCUUUUGACAGGGGAGAACGGCCAGACCUAAUUUUGCUCUCUGGAGAGGAUCUCUUGGAUGCUUAGGCUCCUUUUCAUCUUUUCUAGGGUUUGCUUUUCCACUCUUCUUCCAUUUUUCAUCUAGUUUCACCAUGUCUAUGGUGAACUAAACCCUAUUAUUGUUGGGGGAAACAAUGUAAUCUUUUGAUACUCUCUUUUAUUGAAACUUUUGAUUAUUUAUAUGGUCUCCAUAUGUUUUGAUUGAUAAUUGUUGGGUUCUCAUCCAUGCUUAAGGCCUUUAUUGUUUAACUCAUUCGGUAACUGAUGUUUGUCUUUAUUGAUAUGGGGACGUAUAGUAUUGACAUAAACUAGUGAGUAAUUUCUUGAUUUUGCAAUACCACCUAGGGAUAGGGGUAGGACGAUCAAUUGCGUUAACUUCUGUUUAUAAUGCGACAUUAAUUGCUAGGGGAGGCUAGGGAUAGCAAGCCAGUAGUUAAUAUUAGGCUCUUUUCGCCGAGGGAUCGGGUUAAGGGUAGGCUAAGAAAGUCGCAUGACAAUUAAUUAAUCAAACUAAUAUUCAAGAGGAGUAGAUAAGAAAGAGCGGAUUAGAUGAAAUUGUGAAACCCCAAC
rnacentral:lncRNA from 1 species